UUAAUUGAAAUUAAAAAGUAGAAUUUGGAUUUUGAGAAAGAAUUAGUUAAAAAAGCAUAAAAUUUAUUUUUGGGACCAGGAUUAGAUACCCUGUUACUUUUAGUGAAAUAGUUUUGGAAUAAUAGUAUUAAUGAAAUUUAACGGAUUUGGCGGCAAGAUAGCCCCUUAGAGGAACCUGCCCUAUAAACGAUGAACCACGAAGAGACGUUACUUUUUUUUGAAAUCAGUUUGUAUAUCGCUGUUGUCAGUUAGAUUCCGAAGAAUAUUUUCAUUUAUGAAAAGGUCAUUGACUUCAAGUAAAGGUGCAGCUUAUAGAAAAGAAAGAGGUGGGUUACAUUUAAAAGAAUAAUACGGAUAAGAUAAAUGAAGGAAUCUUUGAAGGUGGAUUUAACUGUAAAAUUUAAUAAAAUUUGGUGAGAGCUCUAUCUUGUGUACACACCGCCCGUCGCUCUCUUUUUUAAAAC
rnacentral:rRNA from 1 species